UGGCACAUACGAAAUGGCUGUGUAGCA
rnacentral:piRNA from 1 species